GACGAACGCUGGCGGCGUGCUUAACACAUGCAAGUCGAACGGAAAGGCCCUGCUUGCAGGGUACUCGAGUGGCGAACGGGUGAGUAACACGUGGGUGAUCUGCCCUGCACUUCGGGAUAAGCCUGGGAAACUGGGUCUAAUACCGGAUAGGAGCCAUUUUUAGUGUGAUGGUUGGAAAGUUUUUUCGGUGUAGGAUGAGCUCGCGGCCUAUCAGCUUGUUGGUGGGGUAAUGGCCUACCAAGGCGGCGACGGGUAGCCGGCCUGAGAGGGUGGACGGCCACAGUGGGACUGAGAGACGGCCCAGACUCCGACGGGAGGCAGCAGUGGGGAAUAUUGCACAAGGGGCGCAAGCCGGAUGCAGCGACGCCGCGUGGGGGAUGACGGCCUUCGGGUUGUAAACUCCUUUCGCUAGGGACGAAGCUUUUUGUGACGGUACCUAGAUAAGAAGCACCGGCUAACUACGUG
rnacentral:rRNA from 1 species